GCUGGGUCACUUCCUCUGGUGGCGAAGCAUGGGUUGGAAUCCACCGCUUUUUCAGCAGAGAGGUCCAAGUAACAAAGCACCCUUCAACACAGUGCAUGGGGAGGAGGGGCAAGUUGGACAGACUGACUGAGGGACAGGCGGAUGGACGAAUGGACAGGGACUGACAGGGACUGAGGCGGAGACACAGUUUUCUUCACUUCAAUCACCCUGGUCUAGACCACAGCCUGACCGUCCUCACCUUAACGUCAAUGUCCCACACGCCACGCCAACCUCGGGGUGGACAGAUGCUGCUGCCACCCCCCACCCCUAAAAAAAACGUCCUCUGUAACACACCGUAUGGCUAUGUCCGAAAGGCGCGGUGCGAGAGCCAUGCCGCACUGGGUCGGAGGCAGACAGACAGCCGGCCGGCUGGAUGGAGGAGAUAAACAGAUGCGAACACACAGUCUCCAGAGUGUCAGGUUCAUUUGUUACCCAGUGAGAACAGACACAUUCCCAUCAGACAGGGCCACGGCAGCAACAGAUGGGAGGUCUGUGGCAGAAUAAAAACCUUGAGUUAAGGAUAAGGAUUAUUUUGGCUGAGAGCUUUCGUUUCCCUUGUGAAGCAUCUGAAGCAGCCAGUACACUCAAGACUUAUCCAAGCCCUGUCAGUCCUCUGAACUCAGUUGACUUGGAUGUGCACCACUUCUGAUGGAUCUUCUGAUUGCCCUUUUAUAAAUAAGCAAUAUGUGACAAUUACCAACGUUUCAAGUUAUGCAGCAUGAACAGUCGUCACUCAAUAAUUAAACAGCACACUUCACUUACAGGACUUCAGCUUGCAACACGCUUUACCACUGUCUUUUGGCAUUCAAUGUAUACUUCAUUGCUUUUUGGAUGUUGAAUUAUUCUGUAAGCAUCACUUGUGAAUAAACACUGUGUACAGGCUAUAACAUUAAGCAGGUCAGAAACGGCUCCAUGAAAUCAGGUGAAUAUCCACAUUUGUGGACAGGUGGUUUAAAACAGCAGUUUCAAUGCAAUUCAUUAGAUGUGUUUAAAAAAUAACACAAUUGCCAUGUUGCAAUAUUGAUUGCCAAAAACUCAAUUGGAUCUAGCCUUAAACCUUGCAUUUAUACUGUCAAACAGUCCAUGGUUAAAAUCCUUUUUUUAAAUCUUUCAUAUUGUAUACUUUGAGCCAGGGUGGAGAGGGUUACAUUUCUUUUAGAUAAUUCUGCUGGUCCCACCAAAACAGGCAAGAACAAGCUUCUGGCUCUUUGCAAUCACUCAGGGCACUAAAUGUAGUGUGUUAAGCUCUUGAUUGAGAUUAACUAAAGAAUUAGCUACACAGCCAAAAAAGAUGGGUGUGUACGCUUCGUUACCCAUGGCCAUUUAGUCCGGGUUCAGGAAGCAUGGCCCACUUGACUUUGAUUUAAGCGAGUUUAGGGGUGUUUGCAGAAAAGUCAUCAAUUCCACAUUUGCAUGGUAGUCUAGUGUUUGGCUAUUAUGAAUGGGUCCUAUCUUUAACGGGUGCUUUCUCAUUAAAGAGGUAGUUCCCACUUUGUAGUCUCACUGUUUCUGUGGGUGCAGUUGAUAUCCUGAAACCAUGUGCAGCUCCUGAUUGGCUGUGUAUUCGGCGGCGGUGCCAAAUGGGGACAUCAUUUUUAUAUUAUUUGGUGUGGUGCUGCUUGAGCUGAGACACACUGGCACAGGUUCAGAACAACUGGCGCCUCUCUUCUCCCUGACAGGUGGAGGCACGGGAAGGGGAGGGAGGGGCCCAUGCCAGGUUUGAAUCCUCCAUGCUCUGUGUGUGUGUGUGUGUGUAUGGAACUGUGUGUUUUUUGGAGGGGUCUAUAGUUUUUUUUUUUUUUUGCUUUGCUGAUGGUCACAUGGACUUUUGUCCACUCAGUGUUUUGCGUUCUAAGGCUGUAAUGUAAAUCUUUACUGCACUCCAGUGGAGAACACAGGUACUGCCACAUACUAAAGUCUG